AUACGGAGGGGGUUAGCGUUGUUCGGAAUUACUGGGCGUAAAGCGUACGUAGGCGGAUCGGAAAGUAAGGGGUGAAAUCCCAGGGCUCAACCCUGGAACUGCCUCUUAAACUCCCGGUCUUGAGUUCGAGAGAGGUGAGUGGAAUUCCUAGUGUAGAGGUGAAAUUCGUAGAUAUUAGGAGGAACACCAGUGGCGAAGGCGGCUCACUGGCUCGAUUCUGACGCUGAGGUACGAAAGUGUGGGGAGCAAACAGGAUUAGAAACCCUAGUAGUCC
rnacentral:rRNA from 1 species